rnacentral:rRNA from 1 species
CCUACGGGCGGCAGCAGUGGGGAAUAUUGGGCAAUGGGCGCAAGCCUGACCCAGCAACGCCGCGUGCAGGAAGAAGGCUUUCGGGUUGUAAACUUCUUGUCUGAGGGAAGUAGACAGAGACGGUACUUCCUGAAUAAGCCACGGCUAACUACGUGCCAGCAGCAGCUGUAAUACGGAGGUGGCAAGCGUAAUCCGGAUUUAUUGUGUGUAAGGGGAGUGUAGGCGGGAAAGCAAGUCAGAUGUGAAAACUCAGGGCUCAACCCUGAUCCUGCAUUUGCAACUGUUUUUCUUGAGUGCGGGGGAGGCAGUCGGAAUUCGGGGUGUAGCGGUGAAAUGCGUAGAUAUACGGAGGA